UUCUCCCGGAUCUGCCUCUUCCUCCAAGUGCUGCGAUCCAAGCUUUUGGAUUUUGUGAGUAUAAAGAGCCUGAAUCUGCCAUCCGUGCUCUCAGAUUAUUUCAUGACUUUCAGAUUGGAGAGAAGAAGGUAAUUGCCAAAGUUGAUGCAAAGACAAAAGCACAAUUGGAUGAGUGGAAAGCAAAGAAGAAGGCUUCUAAUGGGGUUGGGAUUAAGGUAGUAAUGGAGGCUGGACAAGGUUAACUAGCCAGAGAAAACACUUGCACAGACUAUUCCAAGCAGAGCUAAUUCAUUAAGGCAGCUUGGUAAGUAAGUAUAAAAUAUAUUUCAACCUACCCAAUGUUUAUUAGUUACCCUCU